GCCUUCGUGGUGUAGUGGUCAGCACGCUCGACGCGUAUUCGAGAGGUCCGUGGUUCAAGUCCCGGCGAGGUCA
rnacentral:tRNA from 1 species